GGGGAGUUUCCCUGCCCAGGCUCUCUUCUCUUGUCUGCUGCCAUGUGAGACGAGCUUUUAACCUUCUGCCAUGAUUUUGAAGCCUCCCCAGCCACGUGGAACUAUGAAAAAUUUGGAGUCUAGUGAAAAGAAGUGACUUGCUCAAAGUCACACAGCACAUGAAGAACAGAGCCUCUAUGAUGAAUUUCUUGACAGCUGAUAUAAGUCUUUUGAGGUACAGCCUGGCACAAAAAGGAUGAGAUUUGUGGGCAGAAUUUUGGAAGAAUAUCUCCCGAGAGAACAUUCAGGACAGAUUGCACUGCUUUGGAGAGCUGGUGAUGAAAUCCGGCCAUUGAAUUACACUGCACUAUAAACUUCAUUUGUUCUUGGGUGCAUAGUGAUUUGCUAUAAUAAUGAUCAUCCAUUUGCCAGACAGCUGAGAUUUUUUAAAAGCUUGAUUGCUUUUGGCAUGGCAUUAUUAGUCCUGGAAGAAGGCAGCACAUUUGUAGCAAUUCUCAGCUUGAGCAAACUAGAAUAUUCACCUCCCACAAAUGCUGGCCAUUUAAGAUCUGCGUGUUAGACUUUGGCAUUUUUUCUAGCAAUUCUACAACAGCAUACACACUUUUAUUUUUCAUUAACACCAUUGUGAAUAUGCCCAUCUCUAAAAUUUCAAGGGGGUUCACUUAAGCUACUGAGUUUUAUGGACAGAAGGGCCAAGAAAAGUCCCCAAAGAAGAGUGCAUGCUGUCAAUUGUCAAUUUUUUUUUUUCUAAUGAAAGCCAAACAAUUCCAGACAAACCCUUUUCUAAGAAAUGAACUACAUAUCUGGAUCCAAAUAAAUACUCAUCUGAUAAGAAUCUAAAAGCUCUACUGAAUUACAGUGGAUGAGAACAUGAUGAUGGUGAUUCUUUGAAGAUUACUGAGGAAAUCAACUCUCAUGUCUGAUUCUGAUACUUUUUUAGUCCAUCCAUGUUGAAAAUGUCUAUGGAAUGAUUCUGUUGUACCUUGAGAAAUGAAAUUCGUAGGCAUGGAUUCUCUCACACAGCAACUUUAUACACAAAGAUGAGAAUAGAAGAAAGGUCAUUUCCAAAGAAAGUGACAUUUAUUCUGUAUUCACUGAAAAGCCAAAAGAAUUUUCUCAUUCACCCAUACCGACAGAGCCCUGCAUCUCCCCGAGAAGAGGUGAAAGAGACUGCUCCUAUCUGCUCCUGCAUCAAACUUCAGGCUCAAGACCUAUCCAGAAAAAAAAAUGUCUUCUUUCAGGGAUGAACCUGCUGUCCUCAUCAGAGGCCUUAUUUUGUUUAGAAUUCAAGCUCACUUGACAG